AUGGAAGUAACCCACAGCCAGUUUUCUUCAUAUGUGGCAUGGUACAAACAAUAUGAGAAUUCACGGCACGGUUCUGAGGCAGUACCAGCGAUGGUCAAAAUACCUUACAGGAUGAUGUUGGAUGUUCUUUUAGAGACUCUGGGCCUUCCACCAGCUGAGUACCGAACCAGAGUAUAUGAUGGCAGCAGGGUGUGUGUGACAAUAUUGUUCCAUACACCCACAUCAUAUGUUGGGAAUGAUAGGAAUCGAAUGGCUAUUCCCGAGGUACAAUUUGUUGAUCAUUCUAUGUCAGAAGACAGUGCUGCUAUGGAAGCAAUUGGGUACAUUAAAUGCACAGUGAAGACAGAGAUAAGAGACUAUAAUUACAGCACCAUGAAGAAACUCGAGGAGGAAAAUCGGUCUCUAAAACAUGAGCUUAAUAUAGCUAGGUACAACAAGAAGAAAAUGAAGACAAAAAUCAGAUCCAUCAAGAACAAGCUAAUGAUUGCUACAUAUGAGAAGAAGCAAAAUGCUAUGGGCUGGUUCGUCUUAACAAGCACACAUGGGAUCAAGGGCCUCUACGCCAUUUGGCGCAACGGGUCAACUGGAGCAUACCCGACCCGACCCAACCAAGCAGCUGAGCAUCCGCUUCUCCUCUCUCGCUCGAUUCGAUUCGAUUCGAGUGCCCCAACCCAAACCGGCCGGCCGCCGCCGCCGCCGCCGAUCUCCUCUCCCCCAACCCUACCGGCGACCUCGUCUCCUCCAGCCCUCCACCACACCACACCGCCCUCUCCUCCUCCCGACUCCUUCUCUUCUCUCCCCUUCCCUUCCCUUCCCAGGGAGAGGGAGGGAUGCCCCAGAUCCACCUCCGCAGCAGCUCGGGCCGCGGCAACCACGCGCCGGCAGAGGACGACUACUCCCACCGCCACCGCGUCCUCCGCCUUCCAACCCCAUGGCCGCCCGCCCCGUCCAACCUCCAUGGCUGUCCCGAAACCCUAG
rnacentral:rRNA from 1 species